rnacentral:rRNA from 1 species
GAUGAACGCUAGCGGCAGGCCUAAUACAUGCAAGCCGAACGGCAAGUUGAAUAGCAAUACUUGACCUAGAGUGGCGUAAGGGUGCGUAACACGUAUGCAAUCUACCCGCAACAGGAGGAUAGCUCUCCGAAAGGGGAAUUAAGCCUCCAUGGGAUCAUGGGGUGGCAUCACUCCAUGAUUAAACUACCAGGGGUUGUGGAUGAGCAUGCGCAUGAUUAGUUAGUUGGCGGGGUAACGG